UCCUCUUGCAUGUGGUUCUCAGCACACCUG
rnacentral:piRNA from 1 species